CUUAAUGAAACUCUUUCUCCUCAGAAACACUAAUUCAACUGAGUGACAGUGAUGUGGAGAUCCUGUUGUUGCUCCAGAUUGCAAGAAGAAAUUCCUUUUCUUUGAAAUUUCAAUCAUUUAUCAUGUUAAAUUUAAGAAGUGAGAAUGAAAUGAAAUCAACAAAAAAAUUGUUCCAAGUACAAAAUUCCCCUAAUAAAUCUGAUAUACAGAUCUGA